rnacentral:misc_RNA from 1 species
UUGUUUAAAUUUAACUUUAUCGCCGACGCAGAGAGGCAGGGUUUCGGGACGUUCGGGGGCCCGCCGAAAAUUCGGCAGGGUCGCCCCCGAAGCAACGAGUUGUGUGCACAGAGGGUGGGAGGUCGGGCCCGAGGGCCCUCACUCAGUAAUGAUCCCUCCGCAGGUUCACCUACGGAGA